rnacentral:rRNA from 1 species
GUGAGUAACACGUGGGCAACCUGCCUGUAAGACUGGGAUAACUUCGGGAAACCGAAGCUAAUACCGGAUAGGAUCUUCUCCUUCAUGGGAGAUGAUUGAAAGAUGGUUUCGGCUAUCACUUACAGAUGGGCCCGCGGUGCAUUAGCUAGUUGGUGAGGUAACGGCUCACCAAGGCAACGAUGCAUAGCCGACCUGAGAGGGUGAUCGGCCACACUGGGACUGAGACACGGCCCAGACUCCUACGGGAGGCAGCAGUAGGGAAUCUUCCGCAAUGGACGAAAGUCUGACGGAGCAACGCCGCGUGAGUGAUGAAGGCUUUCGGGUCGUAAAACUCUGUUGUUAGGGAAGAACAAGUACGAGAGUAACUGCUCGUACCUUGACGGUACCUAACCAGAAAGCCACGGCUAACUACGUGCCAGCAGCCGCGGUAAUACGUAGGUGGCAAGCGUUAUCCGGAAUUAUUGGGCGUAAAGCGCGCGCAGGCGGUUUCUUAAGUCUGAUGUGAAAGCCCACGGCUCAACCGUGGAGGGUCAUUGGAAACUGGGGAACUUGAGUGCAGAAGAGAAAAGCGGAAUUCCACGUGUAGCGGUGAAUGCGUAGAGAUGUGGAGGAACACCAGUGGCGAAGGCGGGCUUUUUGGUCUGUAACUGACGCUGAGGCGCGAAAGCGUGGGGAAGCAAACUGGGAUUAGAUACCCUGGUAGUCCACGCCGGUAAACGAUGAAGGGCUAAGGUGUAGAGGGCUUCUGCUCUUUAGGUGCUGCAGCUUCACCGCAUUAAGAACUUCCGCUCGAGGGGAGGUACGGGUCGGCAGGAUCUGAAAUCUAAAGGAAUAGACGGGCGGGCCCGCACAUGUCGGGGCGCAACAAGGUGCUUUAAUUCGAUGCACCGCGAAGAAUCUUCACCAGGGUCUGACAUCUUCUGGAC